rnacentral:tRNA from 1 species
GGUAGGGUAGCCUAGUGCUCAGGCGGUGGGUUGUAGCCCCGAAGACAGAGGUCUAAAUCCUCUCCCUAUCA